ACUAACAGCCGCCUACACCUCCAAUGCUGCCACAUGUUGCAAUCCUGAUGUAGGACACAGGGACUGCAACACCUGGGUACGUCAGGAAUGGCAUUCACAUAAAAAAUGCAACAGGUUAAAAAAAAAAAAAAGCACGAUGAUGUCUUAGUGUUUCAGUUGGUCCAAAUAUCUGAUAACUGUUGCUCUGGACAAAUUUGACAUGUUUGCCUUGCUACAAUAUUUAACCAGCAGCCAGCUAAUUUUCUGAAGGUU